UUCUCAACAGUACUCAGAAUCCCAUCAGGAGAGAGUUGAGUGAAAGCCUUCGCCACCUGCUCCCCACAGCUGACGGUCUUCAUAUCCUUCAUCACCACAGGGCUCUUUGCUGCCUUAGAGCCAGUUGUUAAAAGUUUUUCCACUCAAGAUUUGAUUAUUGCUGUGGCAUAUACAGUUUUGCCUCCCUUCCUGAACCCCAUCAUAUACAGUCUUAUAAUCAAGGAGAUCAAAGCAUCUGUCUGGAGACUUCUUGGGAAGAUAAAUCUUCUGCAAAAGUACAUCACCUGGUCUCUGCUAAUGGAAGAUCCUGUAACAAAAGAAAUCGUGAUUCCAAGCUGUCUCACGUCUCUUGGAGCCCUGGUCAGGGCUGGAAUGGCUUCUGAGAUCAAGCAAGAUCUUGGCUCUGAGUCCUCCUCAAUUCCGGCUUCUGGGGAAUUGGUAACCCUGCUUUGGAGACAUCCCCUAGCAGCUCAAGUGUCCACCAGAAGGACCCACCUGCAUCCUAGACUAUCUGUACAUGGCUCAGGUCUGUGGACCAACACCAGAUUCAAUUUCUCAGAAAACUAGGAAUUGAUGGAACUUCCUCAGUCUGACAAAGGACAUCUAUGAAAUACCUGUAGUUGGACUUCAAUGAAAUAACUCUGUUUGGAAUGGCCAAGGAAACCAGCAUUCCUAAGAAUUUCUUUUAAAGCUGCAUCUUUUAGACUGGACUACAGGCAGAACAGUAUGGUGAACACAUUCACAUCACUGAAAUAACGUUGUGCUGAAUCACGUGCGCAGCUAGCACUCUUCUAUACUGACUUUUUAAACAUUUUAGUAAUAUGAAGGUAUUGUUUCACAUUGUUUUCUCUGUUGCAUUCUUUCCAGUGAGAACGCUGUGGUGUCUUUACCUUUGCUUCUCUGUAUAUAAUACUAUUUUCUCUUUAAGAUUGCUUUCACUAUUUUCUCUUUAACACUGAUUUUAAAUCAAUUUUAUUUGGUCAACUCUGACAUAAUUUUCUUCAUGUUCCUUGUGCUUGAGGAUUGUUGAGCUUCUUGGAUUUGUGGCUUUAUAGAGUUUUUUUAAACUUUGAAAAUAAAAUGGCCAUUAUAACUUCA
rnacentral:lncRNA from 1 species